rnacentral:rRNA from 1 species
GAUGAACGCUAGCGAUAGGCUUAACACAUGCAAGUCGAGGGGCAGCAUGGUCUUAGCUUGCUCAGACUGAUGGCGACCGGCGCACGGGUGCGUAACGCGUAUGCAACUUGCCUCACAGAGGGGGAUAACCCGUCGAAAGACGGACUAAUACCGCGUACACUCCAUCUUGGGCAUCCAAGGUAGAGGAAAUGAAAUUCGCUGUGAGAUAGGCAUGCGUCCCAUUAGCUAGUUGGUGAGGUAACGGCUCACCAAGGCGACGAUGGGUAGGGGAACUGAGAGGUUGAACCCCCACACUGGUACUGAGACACGGACCAGACUCCUACGGGAGGCAGCAGUGAGGAAUAUUGGUCAAGGGGCGAGGGCCUGAACCAGCCAAGUCGCGUGAAGGAUGACUGUCUUAUGGAUUGUAAACUUCUUUUAGACGGGAAUAACAAGAGUCACGUGUGACUCCCUGCAUGUACCGUAUGAAUAAGCAUCGGCUAACUCCGUG